UCUCCAAGAAGGAAUAGAGAGAAUAAGUAGAUUUGAAUUUCCAUGCCAAGAAGCAGUGGUUUGUUGAAGAAGAUCUGUUUUGCCAUUAUUUAUGAUACAUAGAGAAUCCAACACACUUUUGAAGCGAGACAGUUUGAGGUUUAAUUGUCUCCUCCAUCACUUACCAUCUGAGUAACAAAUCAGUAUUGAACCUCUCUGAGCUGAAGAUUCCUCAUUUGCAAAAUGGAGAUCAUCCCUACCUCGCAUGUUGCAAAAAAGAAAUCAGAUCAAUUCUAGGAAGGGUCUGAGACAAGGCACAGCCCUUGAUAGGUGCUCAAGAAAUGUUGACUUUCUUCCCCUCACUUCUAAUCAAAUUUAAAUUCUUGGCUGCCAAUUAAAAAUUUCAGAAAGUGCCCUUUAACCUUUUGAAAAGCCCCAAGCCAAUCCAAACCAGACAAAACAAAAAGCAAAUUACCAAAAGCAAUGUUCAACAGAGGUUCCCCACAAACCAAUGGCUCUUCCUGCUUUAUGCUUAUGCCAGAUAUUUUAUUACACAUAUAUUUCUUUUUUAUACCUUCCUGACACCCCUUCCACCACUACCACCAGUUUUGCUCUCUUUGUUGAUUCCUCUUAAAUCCUUAAGUGGGACCAUGAUGCUGUUAUUUGAGUCAUCCCUCAGUGGGCUCCUGUGACAUAAAAAAGGCUAAAUUAAAUGUCAGAAGUGACACUCUACUUUCUUUGAUAAACUAUAGAAAUAAACACUUCUUUAUUUAUUUUUUUCUUCC
rnacentral:lncRNA from 1 species